rnacentral:rRNA from 1 species
UACGUAGGGUGCGAGCGUUGUCCGGAAUUAUUGGGCGUAAAGGGCUCGUAGGCGGUCUGUUACGUCGGGAGUGACAACUCGGGGCUCAACCCCGAGCCUGCUUCCGAUACGGGCAGACUAGAGGUAUGCAGGGGAGAAUGGAAUUCCUGGUGUAGCGGUGAAAUGCGCAGAUAUCAGGAGGAACACCGGUGGCGAAGGCGGUUCUCUGGGCAUUACCUGACGCUGAGGAGCGAAAGUGUGGGGAGCGAACAGG